UACGUAGGUGGCAAGCGUUGUCCGGAAUUAUUGGGCGUAAAGCGCGCGCAGGCGGUCCUUUAAGUCUGAUGUGAAAGCCCACGGCUCAACCCUGGAAUUGCCUUUGAUACUGGACGUCUCGAGUUCGGGAGAGGUGAGUGGAAUUCCGAGUGUAGAGGUGAAAUUCGUAGAUAUUCGGAGGAACACCAGAAGCGAAGGCGGCUCACUGGCCCGAUACUGACGCUGAGGCGCGAAAGCGUGGGGAGCAAACAGG
rnacentral:rRNA from 1 species